GGAUCGCCCUUCCCGUCGCUACUACCGAUUGAAUGAUUUAGUGAGGUCUUCGGACUGGUGGUUAACGGCUGUGUUUCGGCAUAGCCGAUGCCACCGGAAAGAUGACCAAACUUGAUCAUUUAGAGGAAGUAAAAGUCGUAACAAGGUUUCCGUAGGUGAACCUGCGGAAGGAUCAUUA
rnacentral:rRNA from 1 species